rnacentral:rRNA from 1 species
AGAGAUGUGUGAUGACGCAUAUCAAUAAGCGGAGGAAAAGAAACUAACAAGGAUUCCCUUAGUAACGGCGAGUGAAGCGGGAAGAGCUCAAAUUUGAAAUCUUCAAGGUUCUACCUCGACGAAUCGUAGUUUAUAGAAGUGUUUUCUGUUAGUAGAGUGGCAAAAGUUCUUUGGAAUAGGACAUCAUAGAGGGUGAGAAUCCCGUAUUUGGUCAUUCUUUCUAGCUUUGUGAUACACUUUCAAAGAGUCGGAUUGUUUGGGAAUGCAGUCCAAAAUGGGUGGUAAAUUUCAUCUAAAGCUAAAUAUUGGCGAGAGACCGAUAGCGAACAAGUACCGUGAGGGAAAGAUGAAAAGAACUUUGAAAAGAGAGUUAAACAGUACGUGAAAUUGUCAAAAGGGAAGCGUUUGACACCAGUGUUGUUUUUCCGAAAAUCAAUUACUGAAUGGUUUGAUUUUUGAGAAGUUAUGACUUCAUCGGCUUGCUUCUCUCUUUAUGAAACUUUCUUAAUGCACUUUUCGGUUAACAAGUCAACAUCAAUUUCUCUUGUUGUAAAAGGUUAAGAGGAAGGUGGCUUUACUUUCGGGUAAAGUGUUUAUAGCCUUGUACCUCUGCAAUCGGAGAGAUUGAGGUCUGCAGCGUAGAUCCUUCGGGGUUAGAUACAUUUGUGCUAAGUUAUAGCUUUUCAUAGACAACUUGUUGACUAUGUUUAGUCUUGUAGCUUACUCGCUUAUGCUAUUUUACCUACGCUUAGGAUGUUGAAGAUGUAGCACAUCAU